rnacentral:rRNA from 1 species
UACAGGUGUUGCAUGGCUGUCGUCAGCUCGUGUCGUGAGAUGUUCGGUUAAGUCCGCUAACGAGCGCAACCCUCGUCGUAUGUUAUAUGUGUCAUACGAGACUGCCGGUAAAAAGCCGGAGGAAGGUGAGGAUGAUGUCAAGUCAGCAUGACCUUUAUAUCCAGGGCUACACACACGCUACAAUGGUCUGUACAAUGGGUAGCCAAGCCGCGAGGCGGAGCCAAUCCUGAAAGCAGGCCUCAGUUCAGAUUGUAGGCUGAAACUGCCUGCAUGAAGUUGGAGUUGCUAGUAGCCGCAGGUCAGCACACUGCGGUGAAUACGUUCUCGGGCCUU